rnacentral:rRNA from 1 species
GUCGAGGAUCAUUUGCAAUGGGCGCAAGCCUGACAAUGCGACGCUGCGUGGAGGAUGAAGGCCCUCGGGUUGUAAACUCCUGUCAUCUGGGAAUAAUGUCGGUGGCGAUAACAUCGCCAUCGGCUGACGGUACCAGAAGAGGAAGUCACGGCUAACUCUGUGCCAGCAGCCGCGGUGAUACAGAGGUGGCAAGCGUUGUUCGGAUUUACUGGGCGUAAAGGGUGCGUAGGCGGUCCGGUGUGUCGGGUGUGAAAGCCCACCGCUCAACGGUGGAACGGCGCUCGAAACUGUCGGACUCGAGUACGGGAGAGGAGAGUGGAAUUCGUGGUGUAGCGGUGAAAUGCGUAGAUAUCACGAAGAACACCGGUGGCGAAGGCGACUCUCUGGACCGAUACUGACGCUGAGGCACGAAAGCUGGGGGAGCAAACAGGAUUAGAAACCCCAGUAGUCC